AACUCUCAAGCAGAGAUAGCUUUGUUGCUGUUUUUGUUUGGAUUUGGACUUUGCUGUGCCAAUGCGGCUGGUCUUAAAUGCAUUAGCUGGUCCUUAUAUGAGGGAUUUGGUUCUACUCAGCGUGGUAAUUAUCUAACGUUGAGGACAGUCUUAGGACUGGCCAGAGCUUAUAUCUGGAUUGCUUCUAAUUGUCCCUCGGGACAUACUGUUCAAUU
rnacentral:misc_RNA from 1 species